GACGAACGCUGGCGGCGUGCCUGACACAUGCAAGUCGGACGGUUCUUGUAUCUUCAAGCUUGCUUGCAGGUGCAAGGAUAGUGGCGGACGGGUGAGUAACGCGUGAACAUCUACCCAUUGGAGGGGGACAACCCGUCGAAAGGCGGGCUAAUACCGCGUAAGCCGCGAGGUGAGAGGCUGCCUAUUGGUGGCCGCCGAUGGAUGGGUUCGCGUCCUAUCAGCUGGUUGGUGGGGUAACGGCCUACCAAGGCGAAGACGGGUAGCCGGUCUGAGAGGAUGGCCGGCCACACUGGAACUGAGACACGGUCCAGACUCCUACGGGAGGCAGCAGUGGGGAAUAUUGGGCAAUGGGGGAGACCCUGACCCAGCGACGCCGCGUGAGGGAUGAAGGUUUUCGGAUCGUAAACCUUUCGUUGUACGGGAAGAAGGAUGUGACGGUACCGUACGAGAAAGCCCCGGCAAACUACGUG
rnacentral:rRNA from 1 species